rnacentral:lncRNA from 1 species
GUGGAAAGAAGGUCACAUUCGUAUGUGGGGAGAGGUGAGCAGACCAUCCAGGCAAAAGAACACAUUCACAGUCUGAAAUGUGCUUAAUGUGUUCUGGGAACAAAAUGGCCACUGUGCUGACCCAAGAAGGUGAAAGGAAAGAGUUGAAGUAAAGAAGUAUGAUUGCAUAUGGGGAAAGACCAAGGCGUGCAGGAAAACCACAGUGCUGCUUUGAACAGAAGAGUUAUAAGACUUAAAUUUUCAAAGAUCACUUUGGUUCCUGGGGACCAGGGUAAAAAGUAUAGAGCAAUUAUGCAUUUAAUGCAAUAUUUCUAGGCAAGAGAUGACAGCAGUAGUAGUAGAGAUGGUUGGAAAUGAAGGUAGAGGCAGUAAGCUGUGCUGAUGUGUGAGGUGAGAGGUGAGAAUGAACUUAAUGAAUGGAUUGAGCAAAAUGAGUGACAACUGUUGGAUUUCAGUAGUGGGGAAGAAAGCCUCGUUAACAUGGGCUCCAAAAACACAUUCACAGGCAGCACAUGGCUCAUGAAAUGUCAUAAUACAAUUGUGUGCUUGUUAUUACAUCUGCUUUAAGCAAAAGAUAUGUGAAUGACUCAUUUGAAUCAUUAGAAAUUUUUCUCAAAAUUUAGUUGAAUUGCUAGAUUCGUAUUGUGUUACCAUUCUGAACUACAGUGUAUUCAAUAAUUCGCUACAACGUGAACAGUAAUGAUGACACAAGAUUGCAAGAAGAACAGCAAUGAACCUCAAUUAACUUGAAAAAAUGAAUACAUGGAUAUACAUGUAUAUCCUUUGAGUGUAUACACCUGUGCUCACAUGUAAAGUGGAGUUACCUUGUCUGGUAGUCUAUACUCUGAGUAAAAU